UAGUGACCACCUACUAUGAGGAGUCCGGCC
rnacentral:piRNA from 1 species